rnacentral:rRNA from 1 species
AUACGGAGGAUCCGAGCGUUAUCCGGAUUUAUUGGGUUUAAAGGGUGCGCAGGCGGGAGAUUAAGUCGGCGGUGAAAUUUUGCAGCUCAACUGUAAAAGUGCCUUCGAAACUGGUUUCCUUGAGUGUAGAUGAAGUAGGCGGAAUUUGUGGUGUAGCGGUGAAAUGCAUAGAUAUCACGAGGAACUCCGAUUGCGCAGGCAGCUUACUAAACUACUACUGACGCUCAGGCACGAAGGCGUGGGGAUCAAACAGGAUUAGAUACCCUGGUAGUCCACGCAGUAAACGAUGAUUACUAGCUGUUUGCGAUACAAUGUAAGCGGCUGAGCGAAAGCGUUAAGUAAUCCACCGGGGAGUACGUUCGCAAGAAUGAAACUCAAAUGAAUUGACGGGG